AGUGAACGCUGGCGGUAGGCCUAACACAUGCAAGUCGAACGGCCGCACAGUAAGCGCUUGCUCUUACGGGUGGCGAGUGGCGGACGGGUGAGGCAUACAUCGGAAUCUACUUUUUCGUGGGGGAUAACGUAGGGCCACUUACGCUACUACCGCAUACGACCUACGGGUGAAAGCAGGGGAACUUCGGACCUUGCGCGAUUGAAUGAGCCGAUGUCGGAUUAGCUAGUUGGCGGGGUAAAGGCCCACCAAGGCGACGAUCCGUAGCUGGUCUGAGAGGAUGAUCAGCCACACUGGAACUGAGACACGGUCCAGACUCCUACGGGAGGCAGCAGUGGGGAAUAUUGGACAAUGGGCGCAAGCCUGAUCCAGCCAUACCGCGUGGGUGAAGAAGGCCUUCGGGUUGUAAAGCCCUUUUGUUGGGAAAGAAAAGCAGCAGGUUAAUACCCCGCUGUUCUGACGGUACCCAAAGAAUAAGCACCGGCUAACUUCGUG
rnacentral:rRNA from 1 species